rnacentral:rRNA from 1 species
GACGGGGCCCGCACAAGCGGUGGAGCAUGUGGUUUAAUUCGAAGCAACGCGAAGAACCUUACCAGGUCUUGACAUCCCGAUGCUAUUUCUAGAGAUAGAAAGUUACUUCGGUACAUCGGUGACAGGUGGUGCAUGGUUGUCGUCAGCUCGUGUCGUGAGAUGUUGGGUUAAGUCCCGCAACGAGCGCAACCCUUAUCAUUAGUUGCUACGCAAGGGCACUCUAAUGAGACUGCCGGUGACAAACCGGAGGAAGGUGGGGAUGACGUCAAGUCCUCAUGGCCCUUAUGGGUAGGGCUUCACACGUCAUACAAUGGUCGGUACAGAGGGUUGCCAAGCCGCGAGGCGGAGCCAAUCCAACAAAGCCGAUCGUAGUCCGGAUUGUUCUCUGCAACUCGAGAGCAUGAAGUCGGAAUCGCUAGUAAUCGCAGGUCAGCAUACUGCGGUGAAUACGUUCCCGGGUCUU